rnacentral:sRNA from 1 species
GCCAGGUGUGGUGGCGUGUGCCUGUAAUCCCAGCUACUCGGGAGGCUGAGGCAGGAGAAUCGCUUGAACCUGGGAGGUAGAGGUUGCAGUGAGCCGACAUUGCGCCACUGCACUCCAGCCUGGGUGACAGAGUGAGAUCCUGUCUCAG